AUGAACAGUUCAAAGAAUCACUUUAGAGUAGACGUCCCACCUCUGAGCUCUUCUAAAGAGCCACAGAAUCUCCACCCUUGCUGAUGACUGCUAUGUCCUCGAUGCCCUAAAGUGAAGCCGUGUACUCCCGCCUCGACCAUGCAUUACGCCGGCUUUGACACGACGGGUAGUAUUACCUGUUUGGGUCGGGUUGUUGUGGUUUUGUGUUGGUCCAGGGAGUGGUGAUGAUCUUUACCUUGUCUCGAUGUCUUGACUUCGGUCGGUCGGUCUUGGUGGGCGUCGAGGAGGUCUGAAAGGU
rnacentral:snoRNA from 1 species